ACCCCAGGUCAGGCGGGAUUACC
rnacentral:siRNA from 1 species